UGGAAGCAAAGGCGAAAACAAAGCAUACUGAAUCCCCUGCCAAUCUCUCCAAAUUCUUGGAGCUCCCUGUGAUUCCCAACACUGUAGUAAAGGUUGAAGUGGGCCCCCAUUUUGUGAUAUACACCACCAAGACAAAGAUAAAAGGUGCUGUACAUGCGCACCUGACCCAAGUUCAUCCCAACAUGUCUAAGGUAAUCUUACGUACUAGCCGUGGUGUCGACCUGCCCCCGUUGUCAACUCAGAGGUUGCAAUUGCCGGUGUCAGCUCGGCUAGAUCUAGCCACAACGGAUCUAGUCGACCAGAAGCUCCGGGUUCGUGUUCCAAAUGAAUACCAACGGGCACAAUUCAACAAUCACAAAUUGGGAUAUCUAAUUGUUGUUAUAGGAUAAUAAUCACAUGAUACAUGUGUGUCUAUAUAUAUAUAUAUAUAUAUAUAUAUUGCUAUGUCUUAGAAUCUUACAUGUAUAUAUUGGUUUGUAAUACAUGCACAUAUGUUUCAUAUAAUAAUGGGAUAAUAGUUGAGAUUUUUAUUUAGAAUGUAAAGAAUUCGUAUUAUAACUUAAAAGUUAGUAUAAGAUUAGUGUUUUCGACUUGUUCGAAAUCUCAAAGAAUUUUAAUUAAGUAGACUACUGUAAUAUUUUAAUUAAAAAAUUUAUAUGUUGAAAUUUGUAUGAUGAUUAAAGUUGGAAGAAACUAGCAAUCUUUUCAGAGAAAAAUUAUAGGAGUAUCGUAUUAUUUCUUGUUUUAAUGGUGGAAGUAACAUGUAUAUUAUGCUUGGAACUUUAAUUAGUGAGCAAAAUCCAAUUUUGAAAGGGGAACUAGAGAUUAGCGAGAAACUUUUGGCUAUCAAUUUGGUGCUUUUUAAAAAUGUUGAGUAUUCAUAAAUGGAAUGAAAAUAAAUUACAUAUGAACGUAUGUGGGGGCUUCAAUGGAAUUAUCAAUUUAAAAUUGGAGCUUGAAGGGGGAAUUGAAAAAUUAAGUUUAGAUAAUUAAGUUAGCUAAUUCCAUCAACUUUGGUUGUAUAAUUCUUUGAAUUAAGAACAAGGAAUAAAUUUAAAUCCCACAUUCGUACAAUUUGAAUUCUUGUUGAAGAAGUAUUAUAGGAAAUUGAUAAAAUAAAGCAUAACAUUUUUGGGUUUAAGUUUAAAGAAAAAAUAAAUGUAGUUGAAUUUUGAGAGUUUUAUAGAAAGAAAAAUGGCUAUGUUGGUUAUUCGUUGAAAAAUUAUGGAGUAAAAAUCAAUAGUGUAUACGUACCGCGUGUAGCAGACGCGCCACCACGGUUUCAUUAAUACAUCCAGAAAGCGGAAGCCCUUCGUCGAUGACCUUAUCCUCCGAUUCAAUUGAGUCUCUGCAGAGGAAUCGAAUUGAGCGACGAAGAUUGGGGAAUUUGUGCGAUCUCGUUAGAUUCUUCGUGCGCUUUGAGGAUGACAGUGUGGAAUCAGCAAAUGUCGUGAAGCAGUUGAAUGUCAUGAUUAUUUCAGUGAUUGUUUUUCAAAUUAAGUGCCCUUCCACACCUUUUACUCCCCACCACAGCAGGGGAUCCCCUCCCUCUCUCUUCCAUGUACUGAUUAGAUUGUACCCUAUAAUCACAGAGUCCAAUCAUAACCGUGUAGUACUGCAUUUUGGGAUAUUUGGUAGGUUCUGUAAAUUAGGAAGGCGUUUGAUUUAAUUCUUAUUGGAAAUGGUACAUUAGCCCUUCAGUAGCAUGUAGUUAAUAGUAGUAUUUGAUAAUAACAAAUGCUUGCUAUCAUAACAAUGUGUAUGGGAAGUCUCAUAUUCUCUCAUUCUGGACUAAUAAAUAAUAAAUUAUUCCCAACUGGUUGUUAUUGUCACAAUGUCACCUAUUUCAUCCCCGACUAUGAUGUUAUUAAGGAAUGGUUAAACUUACAAGUGAUCAAAAGAAGUGUUUAAGUUUUAACAUUUUGGGUAGAAAGAUACAUGUUGGGUAUUCAUUUGACAAUGUUCAGAAUCAAUUCUGUAUGGAGUAAAAAAAUUUGGUUUAAUUUAAAAGAGAAGAUAUACGCAUUUUAUACCGCGUGUAGCAGACGCGCCGCUACUGCUUCAUCAGACAUCAGUAACCCUAACCGCCACCUCAAGCACACCGAAUUCAUCCAGAAUGCCCGCACCCUCCGCUGUCACCCUCCUCGAUUCAAUUCAAUCCAAUCGUCCCACUCGACUUCUCCAACAUUAACCCCAAAUUAGCAACUUAGAUUGCAAUUUGGGACUAGCUGAUUAGGGUGAAGGAGAAUCCAAUUAAGGGUAUGGAGGAAAUGCUGAACGAUGGAGUCUCUGAAGCAGAUGAAAGGGGGAAGCGUCUAGAAGAAUUUCAGCAGGGAUCGAGUUGGGAUUGCGUGGUGUGGUGGCAUUUUGUGCUUGGGAAGGAGUGGCAGUUCAAAUCUUCAACAAGAAAACAUGCUGAUGGAGUGAUGGAUCUAUUGCUAUAAAUAAAGCCACAUCAGGACAGUACAAAGCUGCAGCUCUGGAGGUGUGGGAUAAACUUGGAGAAUUUGUACAAUCUCGUUAGAGUUUAACGCUUUGAUAGCAAUAGCAAGAUGGGAAGCCUUUUAAACUGGAUUCGACCACCGGCGAAGUGAAGAAGCCACAUCGCUACUGCCCCGCAACUGUUGCUUUUAGACUGUACAAAUAUUACCACAAAUUGGAACUACUCCUAAGAAGAAGAGAAGUAGACAUGGUAUUUGCAGCCUGCAGAUGGUAAUACGGGCAAGUUAUAUGAAGUUUAAUGCAGCCGCACUGGUUAAACCAGCGAGCCUUAAAUAGCAGAAAUGGAUAUGCCUCAGUGGGGAGUGGGUGGAGAGAUUCUCAAGAUGUUCUGCUUUGGAAACGAAAUAAUCAGCCUCUGGUUGAUUUCUUGGUUGCUCAAAUGACCUUUUAUGAUGGAAUGUUUACAAAGGAUUGGAAUGUGAGCAUUCCCAAGCCAGAUGGGGAUCAGGUUUUGUUUCAGUUUUUAUCAAACCGCGAUGAUGGCCAACGACAAGCAUAUGUUGAGCAUUGGAGGGAACAAGUAUGUAUUGUGUAGUGUUCAACUGCGAUUGGCGGGCUUGAAUUUGUAAGCAUCAUGUAUGAAUAUAAUUAUUCUUUCAUCUGAGAAAUGUGAAUACAUAUAUAUAUUUGUAGUU